GGCACCUCUGCUCCACCAUGCUUCGUCAUCCGUUACUCAGCCCCAAAGAAUCUUGGAAAAACAAGCAUCUUGUUCUGGGAUGUCAGAGAAGAGCACAAUCGUCCGACGUCCAACGGUGACUUUGAGCAGACAGAGCUGCUUCUUCCUUCCCUCCAGACUCCGGACAGUAACUCCUGGAGCCACGGGAGUCAAAGAGUACAUCUAUGAAAAACUGGACCCUCACUGGUUUGCUGAACAGGGCUGGUGCUGAGCUGCAGGAUCAAAAGCCUUGUCCGGAUAGCUCAGUCAUGCCUCUGCCAACCGCUCCUGACCAGGCGGGAGUGCUGGGGACCCCCUCCAUUUUCUCCAGCACAGCCUGAAGGGCACCUCACUUGUCACCUGAUGGAGAACUUCUCCUAAGACUCUGAGUGAGGAGACAAGUUCAAGGCCACGUGGUCUCAUCUGACCCAUACUUGAAGGUCACCCGACUCAUCCUUGAAGGUCAAAUGUACGAUACAUUUUAUUCACUCAGAAUCGCUGAUGGAUCAUUCAAGAGGAUAGAGAGAGACUGACCCUAUGGAUGGGAAAAGUGUCAAGGAAUCACUGAGAUAUUUUAAAAACAUUUCUUCUGCCUCAUCUUUUCCUUUCUCGCUGGUUCUUUUGAGAGUGCAUCUCCCUGCUCGUCAAAGCACUGAGACAGCCAUUCCACUACACGUCUAAAUGAGCAUUUCACAGAGAUACUAACUGAAGCCUCGAGCGAUUGUACAUCUAAAAGAUGGGAAUGAAAAUGCAGCUUCAUUUCUCCUGGGCCUUUAGUGUGUGGGCUAAGAAAGAAACUCCUCAGAGCAGAAACAAAGUAAGAUCUCGGAAAGCAGCUCCCAGAGGUAUCUUAUGUGACAGGGCUUCAGUGUGCGUUUUCUCAUCAGCUGGAUGCUUGAGCAAAAGGCCAGAUGCUGAUGGAUUCGACACUCUGCCCGAUGACACAGAGCCAGUAGAUGACAUUCAGAAUUCGAGCCACCCAGGAGCGGUACACAGCCAAGCUGCCCCUUUCCAAGUUUUUAUUUUGUAAUAUUCUGAAUGUAAAGAGAAACUGAAGCAGUUCCACAGUGAAUAGACAUAAAUCUUAC